rnacentral:tRNA from 2 species
UAGGAAGUGGUGUAGUGGAAGCACUGAGAAUUUUGAUUUCUCCAGGUAGGGUUCAAGUCCCUUCUUUCUAA